rnacentral:lncRNA from 1 species
CUUUCUGUUCUUUCUUUUUUUCUUUGCUUUUAUAACAAAAAUGAAUUUGAAAGAGAGACUAAAAAAAGGGGUAGAAGAAAAGAAAAGAACAUGGCUAGCGAGAAUUUGUCUCCGCAGUCAUAAUUCAAAACCCUAACCCUAAUCGAGACCGGACCCAAUUCUAUAUAAAUUAACCCUUUGCACACGAUUGUUCUAUAAUCGCCACCAUCAGCUCUCGCUAAAUGCUUUCUACAUCAGAAUUUGUUCGUCGAAAUUCUAAUUUAUGUAAUUUUUCCUCUGCGUAAUUCAUCCUAAAAUGAAUUUCGCAUCUUUGUGUGUGUGAUUAUGUGCGAAUUGCCUCUUCUUUCAGCUUCAGAGAUUAGAGAUCCAAUGAUCGAUUUUCUGUGGGCUUUGUUCUGGAGGCAAAUAUCUACCUUCCAAGCUUUAAGAUAACCCAGAAAAUUUUUGCUAUGUUUUCUGGGUUCGCUCGCUUUGGUACAUUUCUUAUUCUCUGCGUAUUUAGAUCUAAUAUAUUGUUCUACGCUCUACAACACUAAUCUGUUCAUAGGACAAAAAAUUCAGAUUUACUCUGCAUAUGAGAAAGUUUGUCAAUAAUAAGAAAGCCACUAUGAAUCUGCAAUUUAUUUUUUUUGAAAAAAGGUUCAUUUCAUUUUAAUUUUUGUUGAAUGAAAUUUUAUCGUGUUCUGUUAGCCUUAAAAAUCAAGAAAGAUAACCCAUGAAUCCGCACUUCUUCGGAAAAAACGAUAUAGUCAAUCACGACUCUUUUGAUUGUGAGCAACACUUCAAAAUGAUUGGAUUGAUUAUGAAUAAUUUUGUGUGUACAGACUAAUGGUUCACAACCAUGGACACUCCCAUGUGGAGCGUGUGAGAUGAAUGUUUUUUUCAAUUUUUUAUUCACAUGGAUCCCACCCCUCCUCAUGUAAGUGUUCGGAAUCCUAUCUUUACAAGUACAAAAAGAAGGAUUGAUGGCAUUAUUGUAUUAAGUUGAACGAAAUGUUUGCACAUUUCAAAACGAUAAAGCGAUCAAAUUCUACUUAUUGUAUAGGAACCGAACAUUCACUUGGAUGGGCUUCAUGUAAAUAAAAAGUUGAAAAAAUUACUCACUCCACCCUCCCCGCAUGUGAGUAUCUUAUAAUUGUUUUGUAAUCCAUUAGUUUGUAUACACAGACUUAUUCAUAAUGCUAUACAAACAUGUUCAAAAAUCGGGUAAAAAAUUGAGAGAAUAUGUGUGGGAGCAUGAUUGGACACCUUGGGGAAAAAAAAACCAAUCAAUUUUUAUCAAUUCAAUCUAUUUUCUGAUUCCCUGUUUUUUAGCCUUACUGAUUGACUUUAUCCAAAUUACUAAACCAUCUCAUAAGUAACCUCGAAGAAAAUCUUGACCACUUCCAAUUCCAACAACAUUGUUUGUAGACAAAAAUUAGUAGUGGUGUUACAGACGUCCAAUUUUGAAGACUCCCCAGGAAUGAUCAAUUUUUGGUCCAAGACUUUUCCGGAAGUUCAAAUGGGUACCAAAGAGAAAAUUGGAAAGAUAACUAUUCAGCUUCUUCACCACCCAUUCGACCUUGGACAUCCAAAUCCAAAUCUGAAACCAUCUCUGACAGCUACCACCGUCAAAACAAACCAAAAACCACCCGAAAGAAAUAAGGAAAAAAAAUCAGGGGCAAAAACUACUGAAUUUCGUGGUGGAGGAUUGGUAGGGAAGGCAGGGAGAAGUGGAGGUGACUUCUGUUAUGGCCUGCAGCUGUGUGAUUAUGUAGAGUGGUGGCUAUUAGUGCCGAUUUGGGACCAUAGAUGCAAUUUUUCCAUGUAUAUAUGUUAUAAAACAAAAAUCACAAUACAAUUCAAUUAACAAAACGGCAAUGCAAAAGUGUAAUUUAAAAACGUUCGUGGGUUGGUUUGGUCAAAAAUUUGGAAAAGUUGUCAAUUCUGUAAAUGUUUUCAAAAUUGGACAAUUCUAUUGGAUAAUUUAUUACGUAAAAUAGCUUUCCUAAUGUUAUACGAUGUAGUCGGGCUUGGCUGGAAAAAAAAAAGGAAAAUUGAAGACGAAGAGGAAGCCAG